rnacentral:rRNA from 1 species
UGCAGUCGAGCGAACGGACGAGAAGCUUGCUUCUCUGAUGUUAGCGGCGGACGGGUGAGUAACACGUGGAUAACCUACCUAUAAGACUGGGAUAACUUCGGGAAACCGGAGCUAAUACCGGAUAAUAUUUUGAACCGCAUGGUUCAAAAGUGAAAGACGGUCUUGCUGUCACUUAUAGAUGGAUCCGCGCUGCAUUAGCUAGUUGGUAAGGUAACGGCUUACCAAGGCAACGAUGCAUAGCCGACCUGAGAGGGUGAUCGGCCACACUGGAACUGAGACACGGUCCAGACUCCUACGGGAGGCAGCAGUAGGGAAUCUUCCGCAAUGGGCGAAAGCCUGACGGAGCAACGCCGCGUGAGUGAUGAAGGUCUUCGGAUCGUAAAACUCUGUUAUUAGGGAAGAACAUAUGUGUAAGUAACUGUGCACAUCUUGACCGGUACCUAAUCAGAAAGCCACGGCUAACUACGUGCCAGCAGCCGCGGUAAUACGUAGGUGGCAAGCGUUAUCCGGAAUUAUUGGGCGUAAAGCGCGCGUAGGCGGUUUUUUAAGUCUGAUGUGAAAGCCCACGGCUCAACCGUGGAGGGUCAUUGGAAACUGGAAAACUUGAGUGCAGAAGAGGAAAGUGGAAUUCCAUGUGUAGCGGUGAAAUGCGCAGAGAUAUGGAGGAACACCAGUGGCGAAGGCGACUUUCUGGUCUGUAACUGACGCUGAUGUGCGAAAGCGUGGGGAUCAAACAGGAUUAGAUACCCUGGUAGUCCACGCCGUAAACGAUGAGUGCUAAGUGUUAGGGGGUUUCCGCCCCUUAGUGCUGCAGCUAACGCAUUAAGCACUCCGCCUGGGGAGUACGACCGCAAGGUUGAAACUCAAAGGAAUUGACGGGGACCCGCACAAGCGGUGGAGCAUGUGGUUUAAUUCGAAGCAACGCGAAGAACCUUACCAAAUCUUGACAUCCUUUGACAACUCUAGAGAUAGAGCUUUCCCCUUCGGGGGACAAAGUGACAGGUGGUGCAUGGUUGUCGUCAGCUCGUGUCGUGAGAUGUUGGGUUAAGUCCCGCAACGAGCGCAACCCUUAAGCUUAGUUGCCAUCAUUAAGUUGGGCACUCUAAGUUGACUGCCGGUGACAAACCGGAGGAAGGUGGGGAUGACGUCAAAUCAUCAUGCCCCUUAUGAUUUGGGCUACACACGUGCUACAAUGGACAAUACAAAGGGCAGCGAAACCGCGAGGUCAAGCAAAUCCCAUAAAGUUGUUCUCAGUUCGGAUUGUAGUCUGCAACUCGACUACAUGAAGCUGGAAUCGCUAGUAAUCGUAGAUCAGC